rnacentral:tRNA from 1 species
GGCAAGGUGGCCGAGUGGUUAAGGCGUUUGACUUGAAAUCAAAUUCUUUCGAGAUCCAGGGUUCAAAUCCCUGCCUUGUCG